rnacentral:rRNA from 1 species
AAAGUGACUCUCGGCAUUUGAAAUCUCUGCUCUCGCAUUGAUGAAGAAUGUAGCGAACUGCGAUACUUGGUGUGAAUUGCAGAAUCCCAUGAACCAUCGAGUUUUUGAACAAAUGUUGUGCCCGAAGCCAUUAGGCCGAGGGCACGUCUUCCUGGGCGUCACGC